rnacentral:ribozyme from 13 species
AAAGAAGAAACAACCAAGAAAGAGGAGAAAGACAGUUUCUCUAUUCUUUCUUCUUUCUCUUCUAUUUUUCGAGAGGAUCUUCCAACGUAUGGUUCUUUACCACGUUCUUAUUCUCAAAUUCCGCAACUUCCAAGUGGCAAUUGGAGGAAAGAGAGAGGGGGAUCUAUGUUGGAUAGAAGUGAGAAUAAGAAAAAGAA